UAACUCUUCAAGGGGUUGUGAAAUGUAGCCAUUAUCAAGUCAUAUCACAGCCAUUUUGAUGAGUUUCG
rnacentral:pre_miRNA from 15 species